UGUAUGAGAUUUUGAGGGAUUCCAUUCUGACGGAGGAGCAGCUGAUUGAGAACAACUACCAUGUGCAACACCCGCAGAAGGCCGGCUGUGCUGUCCUUUUUGCGGACAACAAGAAGGGCAACAAUGACCCCUUCAAGAGGAUUUGCUGUCGAUGUGGAGCGACAUACUCUGUUAGCAAAACGGGCAAACACACCCGCACAGAGGAGUGCAAUUAUCACUAUGGCAAAGGAGUGGAGAAAAGAGUGCCAGGUGGGGUGGAGACGCGCUACAGCUGCUGUCAGGGAGUCAUGGGCGCACCCGGAUGCCAACUUUUUAAGGUGC